CAGCCGCCGCGGGAAUACGGAGGGGGCUAGCGUUGUUCGGAAUUACUGGGCGUAAAGCGUACGUAGGCGGCUUUGUAAGUUAGAGGUGAAAGCCUGGUGCUCAACACCAGAACUGCCUUUAAGACUGCAUCGCUUGAACGUCGGAGAGGUGAGUGGAAUUCCGAGUGUAGAGGUGAAAUUCGUAGAUAUUCGGAAGAACACCAGUGGCGAAGGCGGCCAUCUGGGACAACACUGACGCUGAGGCACGAAAGCGUGGGGAGCAAACAGGAUUAGAUACCCGCGUAGUCCCUGUCUCUUAUAC
rnacentral:rRNA from 1 species